CGGAGGGUGCAAGCGUUAAUCGGAAUUACUGGGCGUAAAGCGCACGCAGGUGGCUGAGUCAGUCGAUUGUGAAAGCCCUGGGCUUAACCUGGGAAUUGCAGUCGAUACUACUCGGCUCGAGUAUGGGAGAGGGCAGUGGAAUUCCCGGUGUAGCGGUGAAAUGCGUAGAUAUCGGGAGGAACAUCAGUGGCGAAGGCGGCUGCCUGGCCCAAUACUGACACUCAGGUGCGACAGCGUGGGGAGCGAACAGGAUUAGAUACCCUGGUAGUCCACGCCGUAAACGAUGAGAACUAGAUGUCGGGGGGGAUUAGCCCCUCGGUGUCGUAGCUAACGCGCUAAGUUCUCCGCCUGGGGAGUACGGCCGCAAGGUUG
rnacentral:rRNA from 1 species